rnacentral:rRNA from 1 species
UACAGAGGGGGCAAGCGUUGUUCGGAAUUACUGGGCGUAAAGGGCGCGUAGGCGGCCUUCUAAGUCGAACGUGAAAUCCCCGGGCUCAACCCGGGAACUGCGUCCGAUACUGGAAGGCUUGAAUCCGGGAGAGGGAUGUGGAAUUCCAGGUGUAGCGGUGAAAUGCGUAGAUGUCUGGAGGAACACCGGUGGCGAAGGCGACAUCCUGGACCGGUAUUGACGCUGAGGCGCGAAAGCCAGGGGAGCAAAGCGGG